rnacentral:sRNA from 1 species
UAAGAUCAAGCACACAUGAAAUAGCCCCUGCACAGGGAUUGCUGGCUGGAGUAAGGAGGGAAUAAGUUUCACUCCGUCCUUAGCUUCCUGGCCUUGGGCGAAUUAACUUGGAGGUAUUGGGCCUCAGUUUCCUCACCUGUCGAGAUGGGGGCAUUCGCACACCUGCUUCCUGGGAUUGUGAAUUCAGGGAGGGCUGGGAGCUCACAUUUGUACGGGUGUGGAGGCGCCAAUUGUUUUUCCUCAGCUGUGUGAAUGAGUUGUGUUGAACUGUGUUAGGAUUCGACACUCAGCAGAUAUGCUGAGUUGUGCCGUGCCAUGCUGGGCCCAAAGUGCCAGGUGGGUGAGAUGUGUUUGAUGCCUGUUCAGUUAAGAAAUAAGCUUGUAGAUCAUCAUUGCGGGAGAGGAGAUAAGGGCCUGCGAUGUAAGAACAGUGGGGCAUUUGCCGAGAAAGAGAAGGGUGGGCUCUCUGUGGGGCAGAGGAUAGUCCUGGGUUCUGUGACAUUUUUGCUGGAGAAGACCCUCUUGCCCUGUGUCCUUGUGCCGCUCUCCCAAGGCUGUUCACGGGUGGGGUGAACGGGCACUGGUACCAGCUCCGCUUAGUGCCGGCAGGACUCUGAUGAACACUCUUGACCCUGUUUCAGACCCUCAGUGCAGACGCAAGCAUGAACACCCUUCCUGUAGUGGUCUCCAGAGAGCCCUCGGUGCCGGCUUCUUGUGCUGUAUCAGCAACGUACGAGCGAUCCCCCUCCCCAGCUCAUUUACCCGAUGAUCCCAAGGUGGCGGAGAAACAGAGGGAAACCCACAGUGUGGACAGACUUCCUCCCGCCCUCACUGCGACCGCAUGUAAAUCGGUGC